rnacentral:rRNA from 1 species
AUUGAACGCUGGCGGCAUGCCUCACACAUGCAAGUCGAACGGCAGCACGGGAGCAAUCCUGGUGGCGAGUGGCGAACGGGUGAGUAAAGUAUCGGAACGUGCCCAGUCGUGGGGGAUAACGUAGCGAAAGUUACGCUAAUACCGCAUACGAUCUAUGGAUGAAAGCGGGGGAUCGUAAGCCCUCGCGCGAUUGGAGCGGCCGAUAUCAGAUUAGGUAGUUGGUGGGGUAAAGGCUCGCCAAGCCGACGAUCUGUAGCUGGUCUGAGAGGACGACCAGCCACACUGGGACUGAGACACGGCCCAGACUCCUACGGGAGGCAGCAGUGGGGAAUUUUGGACAAUGGGCGAAAGCCUGAUCCAGCCAUGCCGCGUGCAGGAUGAAGGCCUUCGGGUUGUAAACUGCUUUUGUACGGAACGAAAAGGUUUGGGCUAAUAAGCUGAGCUCAUGACGGUACCGUAAGAAUAAGCACCGGCUAACUACGUGCCAGCAGCCGCAGUAA